rnacentral:rRNA from 1 species
UACGGGGGGGGCAAGCGUUGUUCGGAAUUACUGGGCGUAAAGGGCGCGUAGGCGGCCCGCUUAGUCGGACGUGAAAUCCCUCGGCUCAACCGAGGAACUGCGUCCGAUACUGGCGGGCUCGAAUCCGGGAGAGGGAUGUGGAAUUCCAGGUGUAGCGGUGAAAUGCGCAGAUAUCAGGAGGAACACCAACGGCGAAGGCAGCACUCUGGGCCGGUACUGACGCUGAGGAGCGAAAGCGUGGGGAGCGAACAGG